rnacentral:tRNA from 1 species
CAGGACAUAGUUUAACAAGAAUGCUGGCUUUGGGGGCCAGAGGUGGAGGUUAAAUUCCUUUUGUCUUGA